rnacentral:rRNA from 1 species
UACGGGGGGGGCAAGCGUUGUUCGGAAUUACUGGGCGUAAAGGGCUCGUAGGCGGCCAACUAAGUCAGACGUGAAAUCCCCCGGCUUAACCAGGGAACUGCGUCUGAUACUGGAUGGCUUGAGAUUGGGAGAGGGAUGCGGAAUUCCAGGUGUAGCGGUGAAAUGCGUAGAUAUCUGGAGGAACACCGGUGGCGAAGGCGACAUCCUGGACCAACACUGACGCUGAGUGAGCGAAAGCCAGGGGAGCAAACGGG